rnacentral:lncRNA from 1 species
UUCUUGCAGGGAAAUUCAGAUGUACAUGUAAAACAUGAAACAUAUACAAAAACACACAUUAUUUGUAAUAUCUUUGGAGGUUUAUUCUAAGGUGCUCACUAUACUGACUUAUUUAACCUUAUUUGUAAAAAUUUCAGGACAGGUGCAUCUCUUAAUGUUUGGGAUCACUUUAUAUAGUUCACUCCAGCAAAUUAAAUGAUGCUAAUGGGAAGGCUUCAAGUUGACUGACUGGGAAAACUUUGUACUUAAGUGUUUUCAAGAUGGAGAGUCUUAAUAUGGUAUAUCAGGAGAAAAUAUAAUAUUCGUG